UGGUGGAGUGAUUUGUCUGGUUAAUUCCGUUAACGAACGAGACCUUAGCCUGCUAACUAGUUAACGCAAUCUUGAUUGUGAUUAGCUUCUUAGAGGGACUUUGUAAUCUAAAUACAAGGAAGUUUGAGGCAAUAUUA
rnacentral:rRNA from 1 species